AGUCACUGACUAUUAGACUACCCGGUAGUCCAGCCGUAAACAAUGUGCGUUAGGUGUGUCGGUAACCACGCGUUACUGAUGCGCCGAAGAGAAAUCGUGAAACGCACCACCUGGGAAGUACGGUCGCAAGGCUGAAACUUAAAGGAAUUGGCGGGGAGCACCACAACAGGUGGAGCCUGCGGUUUAAUUGGACUCAACGCCGGGAAGCUCACCGGAUAGGACAGCAGAAUGAUUGCCGGGCUGAAGACCCUGCAUGACUAGCUG
rnacentral:rRNA from 1 species